rnacentral:rRNA from 1 species
UGCCAGCCGCCGCGGUAAGACGGGAGGGGCAAGUGUUAUUCAUCAUGACUGGGCGUAAAGUGCACGUAGGCGGUUUAUUAAGUUAUAGGUAAAAUACAAGAAAACCAUGGCAAUGCUUAUAAAACUAAUAAACUAGAGUACUAAAGAGGAUAAUGGAAUUUCUAGUGUAAAGGUAAAAUUUGUAGAUACUAGAAGGAACUUCAGUGGCGAAGGCGAUUAUCUGGGUAGUUACUGACGCUGAGGUGCGAAAGUGUGGGUAGCGAACAGGAUUAGAUA